UAUUCUCACCAAGACUCAAACUCGGAAUAGCGGCUUGAAAAACCGCCGUUAUGUUUAACUAUAAAAAU
rnacentral:tRNA from 1 species